rnacentral:lncRNA from 1 species
ACACAGAGUAGGGUACUUGCGAUGGAGACCAAAUGGCCCCCAGCCUGAAAUACUGGCUGCCUGGCCCUUUGCAGAAGUCGAUUGCUGACUCCCGCGUCAAACUUAUGGCAGAACUGGAAUGACUUCAACCCUGUAAAGAUGCCACAUAUAAGUGACAUCGUAUGAUGUCUAACUUUGAGAAAGAGACUCAAAAUUUUCAGCCAGAAGAAAUAGGGAGAACACACGGAGCCCCACGGAGAUGGGGUCAGAUCCUCCCCUUCUUUCAUCCGAAGGCUCUGGAGCCGCUGAACCCGCCCCUGCCUCUCACCUUGAUCCCACAGUGCGCAGGCGCCCUCCAACCCGCCACUCCGGGCCAUCCGCCACAACUGUGUGGCGCGAAGAGGUGGCCACACUGCCCUCUUGCCGGAAGCCCUCCUGGGGUUCCCAACAGUCCAUGAUCUGUUAAAUCCUUAUGGAAGAAAAAAGGUUGCAGCAAUUUGCCAGGCUCGGACAUUAUGAGAAAAUUCACAGUCACAUUAAAGCUCACGUGAUAACAACGGCAAAACUCCACGGCACAUUCUUUUUACCUACUAGGAGAAAAUCGUCUGUUACUGAUGUGUUAACAAUCAUGUCUUUGAUUACUAUUAAGAUUGCAUUUUUAUUUCACUUUUUUCUUUAUAUGCAAAUCUCUUAUAAGCUACCUUUUGGACAUGCUUUUUUGGGGGGAUGGUGUUUAUUUUUCCUUAUAGACCUAAAGUCUUUAAAUGAUAAGGGUAUAAAACAUUGCUGUGUUUGCUAUGUAUUUUUUUUUUUUUUUGGUUCUUGGUGUUUUUUUUUUUUCACACUGGUGGCAUAUGGAAAUUCCUGGGCCAGAGGCUGAAUCUAAGCCGCAGCUGCCCCUAUGCUGCAGCUGCAGCGACUCCAGAGCCUUAACUCACUGCACCACAGUGGAAACUCCAUCCAUAUUUUAUUUUUAUUGCUAAAGGUGUUUUGUUUAUAAUAGCUAAGGAAAUCUAUUUUUAGGACAGAAGUCAAGCUCCCUGAAGCCAUGGAAAUAUUUCACUUCCCACCAGAAAUACAUUCUUUUGGUAUUAGCACAGAGCUUUUAAAACAAUAAACAUGGGAUUCACAUCAGAAUUGUCCCUCUCAAUUUUUUUCAACGAAGCUCAAUUCUCAGCCCAUAAAAACAGCAAAACCUAAACUUUCCCUUAUUUUAAUUCUACAGUUAUUUUUUUAAACAAGAAGUAUCCAAAGGAGGAUGCAAAAAAUCACUUGAAAAAUGGUUUUUUCCAGUCCUCCCCUCUCUAGUAGGCACGGUGAAUUCAGAACAUUUCUUUUGUGAGGAACUAUCACUAUUCCAAAAGAGUCUAACAGGAUGUAAAUGCAGGAAUGGAUUCUUUCCCAAAAUCGGCAGAAAUGAAGGAUGAAAGCCUUUGGCUGCGUGUCGUGGAGCAAAUGCAUUUAGAACUGGGAUCUCAGAACCUCAUUCUUUAGCAUCACUGCUUUCUUUAUCAGCCUCAUCUCCUUCUAAGCCUUUAGGAACCUAAGGCUAUCUAAAGACUUGCCCCGCUUGUUGGUAUCCUGAAUAACCAAUACGUCUUCCUCUCCUUCUGCAGCCCAUCAAGCCUGCUUCUGUGCCCUUCAGCUUGGGCUUCCUUAAGCAUAUGCCUUCAUGGUCUUCACUGUUCAUGAUUUUAAGCUUGAGCUACAGCCUGACAGACUCCUGUGCACAACACACCUUCUGUGGCUGAUCCUGUGUCUCUUCUUCCUGUAAAAGAGAAAAUAAAAGUCACACCCAACAUCCCACCAAGAUAAAACUUACCGCUAAGAUUCUGGCACUUCCCCAUCCAACAUUUUGUCUAUGCUUAGGUAUAAAUACUAUAUACCCUACUGCUUCUCACUUUUAAAAUUUAAAAUUAUGUUGUCAUCAUUUCCCCAAACUAUAAUUCUUAGUAGUGUAUGGUAAUCAAUCCAAGGACUCUUCAGUAGAAAGAAACUUAAGCUGCUGUUUAGUUUUUCCUGCUUUUGGUAAUGUUGGUUAAAUAAUGGGGCCUUGCUUGCAUUCCAGUUACUUCCAUAGGGCAAAUUCCUAGGAGGGAAAUUAUG